GACGAACGCUGGCGGCAUGCCUAAUACAUGCAAGUCGAACGCGACCAGCCGGUGCUUGCACUGGCGAAGUCGAGUGGCGAACGGGUGAGUAACACGUGAGAAACCUACCCUGGAGUGGGGAAUAACUCGAAGAAAUUCGAGCUAAUACCGCAUACCUUCUUACCGUCGAAUGGUGGUUUGAAGAAAGAUUUAUCGCUCUGGGAGGGUCUCGCGGCCUAUCAGCUAGUUGGUGAGGUAACGGCUCACCAAGGCAUCGACGGGUAGCUGGUCUGAGAGGACGAUCAGCCACACUGGAACUGAGACACGGUCCAGACUCCUACGGGAGGCAGCAGUAGGGAAUCUUGCGCAAUGGGCGAAAGCCUGACGCAGCAAUGCCGCGUGCGGGACGAAGGCCCUAGGGUCGUAAACCGCUUUCAGUAGGGACGAAAAUGACGGUACCUGCAGAAGAAGCUCCGGCCAACUACGUGCCAGCAGCCGCGGUAAU
rnacentral:rRNA from 1 species